ACGGGAGGCAGCAGUGGGUGAUGUUGCACAAUGGGGGAAACCCUGAUGCAGCGACGCCGCGUGAGUGAUGAAGUAUUUCGGUAUGUAAAGCUCUAUCAGCAGGGAAGAAGAUGACGGUACCUGACUAAGAAGCCCCGGCUAACUACGUGCCAGCAGCCGCGGUAAUACGUAGGGGGAAGCGUUAUCCGGAUUUACUGGGUGUAAAGGGAGCGUAGACGGUAUGGCAAGUCUGAAGUGAAAACCCAGGGCUCAACCUUGGGACUGCUUUGGAAACUGUCGAACUAGAGUGUCGGAGAGGCAAGUGGAAUUCCUAGUGUAGCGGUGAAAUGCGUAGAUAUUAGGAGGAACACCAGUGGCGAAGGCGGCUUGCUGGACGAUGACUGACGUUGAGGCUCGAAAGCGUGGGGAGCAAACAGGAUUAGAUACCCUGGUA
rnacentral:rRNA from 1 species